UACAGAGACUGCAAGCGUUAUUCGGAUUCACUGGGCGUAAAGCGUGCGUAGACGGCUAUCUAAGUCGGGUGUGAAAGCCCCGGGCUCAACCUGGGAAUUGCAUUCGAGACUGAAUAGCUAGGGUACGGUAGAGGGAAGUGGAAUUUCCGGUGUAGCGGUGAAAUGCGUAGAUAUCGGAAGGAACAUCAGUGGCGAAAGCGACUUCCUGGACCAGUACCGACGUUCAGGCACGAAAGCGUGGGGAGCAAACAGG
rnacentral:rRNA from 1 species